rnacentral:lncRNA from 1 species
GGAAACGACGCCGUUUUAAAGAGUGAAAAAACGACGUCGUUUUGGGAUGAAGGAAAACGACGUCGUUUUGGGUAGGCUAGUAGGGUAUAAAGGGAGGUCGGGAAAGGGAGAAGAGAAAAGAAGAAAAAAAAAAGAGAGAAAAGGAGGGAAAGGAGAGAGCGAAGAAGAAGAAGGGAAGGAAAGUUCCAGAAGGAGAGAGGAGAGGGUCGGAGCGGAGGAGAGCGAGAAGGAGAGGGAAGGAGGCCGUGAACGGACGACGAUACCGGCAGAAGGAAGGAAGAU